AUAGGAGGUCCAGCCUGCCCAGUGACUACGGGUUCAACGGCCGCGGUAUUUUGACCGUGCAAAGGUAGCGCAAUCACUUGUCUCUUAAAUAGAGACCUGUAUGAAUGGCUAGACGAGGGCUUAACUGUCUCCCCCCUCCAGUCAGUGAAAUUGAUCUAUCCGUGCAGAAGCGGGUAUAACUAUACAAGACGAGAAGACCCUUUGGAGCUUAAGGUACAAAUUCAACCACGUUAAACGACUCCAUAGAAAGCAAGAACUUAGUGGCGAAUGAAAUUUUACCUUCGGUUGGGGCGACCACGGAGGAGAAAGAAGCCUCCGAGUGGACUGGGCUAAACCCUAAAGCCAAGAGAUACAUCUACAAGCCGCAGAACAUCUGACCAAUAAUGAUCCGACUGAAAAGCCGAUCAACGAACCAAGUUACCCUAGGGAUAACAGCGCAAUCCUCUCCCAGAGUCCAUAUCGACGAGGGGGUUUACGACCUCGAUGUUGGAUCAGGACAUCCUAAUGGUGCAGCCGCUAUUAAGGGUUCGUUUGUUCAACGAUUAAAGUCC
rnacentral:rRNA from 1 species